UACGAAGGGGGCUAGCGUUGCUCGGAAUCACUGGGCGUAAAGCGCACGUAGGCGGACUCUUAAGUCGGUGGUGAAAUCCUGGAGCUCAACUCCAGAACUGCCUUCGAUACUGAGAGUCUCGAGUCCGGGAGAGGUGAGUGGAACUGCGAGUGUAGAGGUGAAAUUCGUAGAUAUUCGCAAGAACACCAGUGGCGAAGGCGGCUCACUGGACCGGAACUGACGCUGA
rnacentral:rRNA from 1 species